UUUUAACUGUCUCGUUCUGAAAUCCCCCGUCUCUCUCUUUCUCAAUCCCUUUCUCCAUGCCUCCGAUCUCCAGCCUCUCACUGCACCUCUCGCACGAUCGACUAUCUCCUUUAGCCUUUCCGAAUAAAUGGCCUUUGAAUCGAGCUCAUCCUCGUCUCCUCUGGUGGGUCAAUCGAAGUUGAACACCACCUCUGCUUGCUCGGGACGCCGCCUCCUUCGGUCCCAUCGCCCCCGCUGGCUGGGGUGAAGAAGUUGAGCACGGACUAUGCUGGCCAUUCUUUCACUGAUGGUGGAGAGGUCAUGUGAGAAAGAUAGUCCUUUAUGCUAUUCUAUUUUUGUAUAGGUGCUUCACUUUAAGAGGUGCCAUAUACUUUUGUCAAGAAAAGUUCUGAGAGGAUUGGUUCUACAAACACUUUGAUGCUGCAAACAAAAAUGAAGAAGGCAGAGUUGAACAUAAAUGAAAAGGGUUUGAUAUUUGCUUUACAACACUUGAAUCCAUUCAAAUUGAAUGGAUGUUGUAUUGAAGAAAAGCAGUUGUAGUUGGUUUAUGAAUAAUAGCCUUGCUCAUUCUCUAUUUGGUAUGCAAGGUACACCAGAUCAGUCUCCAUCGACAUGCGCUGUGUUGCACUCCCGAGUGCUAUGGUAUAAAUUCCUAUCCCGAGCCCGUUGCACUAUCCCGAGUGCUAUGGUAUAAAUUCCUAUCUCAGAUUUUAAUUAUUUUGAGUUUUGAAAUUAUUUGCGAGUUAGGAAACUAAAAUGUAAUUGUGUAUGUUCAUAGUAUAUUGAGAGUUAAUUAGUAUAAUGAGUUGAGCUGUGAUUUUAUUGGACUGCUCUGGGACUGUCAUAUGCUUUGUUUGCAGGUUCUUAAAAUUUGGAGAUGUCCGAUUUGCAGUUGUUGUGCUGCCCAUUUUUCUAGAAAUUUACAGACUCUUGUCUAGUUACUUUGCAACUCUGUUGCAUGCUCUUCCUAAUCGACUUAACAUAUUUAAUUGUAUACUAAAUUAUGUAUCAUAUGCAAAAAAAAAAAAAAUUUGUUUUGCAAGCUGAAUUAUGAUUUUCUAUUUUGCGUAGAGUUUCAGAUGUGAAUUGGAUUUAUAAAUUUGGAUUAGGCUUAUUCACAACUCGUUGUGUUACUUUAACCACUUUGUCGCUCGUUGUGUUAUUUUAAAAACUUUAACAAAUGUUAUCUGGUAUGCUUGUGUUACACAUUAAUGAUCUAUUAUAUUUAUGUUCUCAGUGCUUUUAUUUAUAACUAUAUUAUUUUUUCUUUUCUUGCUAAGUACUAUGGACUUAGAAUCCUAUGCAUAUUACUUACCUAAAGAACUAAGACUAACUACUUAAGCCAUGAGGCUAUCUUGUUUGAUAAGAAAAAUACAACUUUUAUAUAAAUCAUUUUUGUGACUAAAAACCAAUCAUCCUUUUUAUUUCUUCUACAACCUCAAGUUCUCUAUUUAUUUUAAUUUUGGUUUGACUUUAAUGGUGUUUAUUCUGUAUUGUAGGCUAAAAUUCUACUUGGAUAUUUAAGAGAACUAAGACAAUUAUAUAAGAGAACCAAAGCAACAAGAAAUUCUUCAAAUUGUUGGGUAUUAUUUUCUUUCUUGCUUGUAAAAAUUAUGUACAGUGAGGAUUUGAUGUAUUAUUUACAUUGUGAAUAAUGAAUUUUUGUUGAGAAUUAUAAUAAAUUUUUAUUGAGAAUU